AACGAACGCUGGCGGCAUGCCUAACACAUGCAAGUCGAACGAGACCUUCGGGUCUAGUGGCGCACGGGUGCGUAACGCGUGGGAACCUGCCCUUAGGUUCGGAAUAACUCCCCGAAAGGGGUGCUAAUACCGGAUAAUGUCUUCGGACCAAAGAUUUAUCGCCUUUGGAUGGGCCCGCGUUGGAUUAGCUAGUUGGUAGGGUAAAAGCCUACCAAGGCGACGAUCCAUAGCUGGUCUGAGAGGAUGAUCAGCCACACUGGGACUGAGACACGGCACAGACUCCUACGGGAGGCAGCAGUGGGGAAUAUUGGACAAUGGGCGAAAGCCUGAUCCAGCAAUGCCGCGUGAGUUAUGAAGGCCUUAGGGUUGUAAAGCUCUUUUAACCGGGAUGAUAAUGACAGUACCGGGAGAAUAAGCUCCGGCUAACUCCGUG
rnacentral:rRNA from 1 species